rnacentral:lncRNA from 1 species
GGACGGUCAUCAAUUGCUCCUCAUGCUCCAUAGAUCAGAACCCUCUGAUCAUCUUCUUCAUUUCCUCUGCAGAUCACCUUCUUCAGCAUGUGUGCAACUUUGGUGGAGUAGCACGAGCACAAGCUCGUCUUUUCUCCCUCACUCUUUCACUUACUCUCUGCCCUAGCUCAAGGGUGAAUUUAUCUUCCUCAAAGUGAAUUUCUCAAGAGCUCGUUUGUGUCAAAUGAGUUGCCGGAGUUGAGACCCCAAAGAAGAAGAUGCCAAAAUGCACAGUUUCAUUAAGGUGCAACCCAAAUGCCUAGUGCAAUAAUGAUCCAACUUCUCAAGGUUUCUGUGGCCCAAUCUAGCCAACGUUUGCAGCAUUCCAAUUUGCUUUCAAUUAGCUCAAGGCAGCAACCGAAAUCUU